ACUUUUAAAGGAUAAAAGUAAUCCGCUGGUCUUAGGAGCCAAAAACCUUGGUGCAACUCCAAGUAAAAGUA
rnacentral:tRNA from 1 species